GAUUUGUUGUAUCUAAAAGGAAAAAGACUGCACUAUUACAUAAAGCAAAGAGGUAGUAGAAAGCACUUUAUUGUGCCUUGUGCGCUGUGUGAUUGGUCUCUGUCGGAUAAUAGUAGCUAUAAUCAAUACUACUCUUCGUUCCACUUUCACUUUCCUCUUUCUCUCUGUCAGUAGGAAUUCAAACCGAAAUGGCCUGAAUUCUCCGGCGUACCUUGACGCCGACGUAUCUUCUUCUCUGCCGACUUUCGCUGCCGAUCGUGUUUUUCUAGCAAAAGUCGAUAUGAUCACGAGUUUUUACAAAGCUCAAGCUUCUGCAGAUUCUUGUAGCUCUCCUUUGAACCAAUUAUUAAUAACAAUAUUAAUCCCUCCCAAGCAUCGGAUAAAGGAUGGGAUUAUGAGCCCGAUCCUGCUAAAAGAAAACCAAUUUCAGAAUAUCCUCCUAAUUUACGUGACCGUGUAAGGAGAAAUUAUAUACAAAAUGGAGCUUGUCAACCUCGUGGUUUUGUCUUUCCAAAAAGAGAUUUUGGGGGAAUAAUGCUAUUGUCAACCUCGUAGAGGUUUUUUGUGCUGCUAUUGAUUUGCAACUUUCGGAGCUUAACAAUCGUUUUAGUGAAAUGAAUACUUCCCUGCUUCUUGGUAUGACUAGUUUGAGUCCCGAUGAUUCUUUGUGAAUUAUGAUAAAAACAAGAUUAUGAAACUUGCUACAUAUUAUCCAAAUGAGUUCAUUGCUUCUAAGCUUGAAGAUCUUAGUUAUGAGCUUGACAACUAUAUUGACUAUGUGCGAGAAAUGAACAAUGCAUUCUCUAACUUGAAAGGGCUUGGUGAUCUGUCAAAGACAUUGGUUAAAACAAAUAUUCACAAGACAUGGGGACUUGUUUAUUUGCUUGUGAAGCUGAGUUUGAUAUUACUUGUGGCUACUGCAACGGUUGAAAGAGCUUUUUCUUCAAUGAAGUUUAUUAAAAAUGAUUUUCGAAACAGGAUUGGUGAUGACUUUUUGAAUGAUUGUUUAGUUUGUUUUAUAGAGGAUGAAGUAUUUGAAAGUGUAUCUAAUGAUGCGAUCAUUGAUCGUUUUCAAAACAUGACAACUCGUCGAGUGCAAUUGAAAUGAUAAUGUUUAUAUUCGUAUAUUGUGUUUGUCUUUCGUUACUUUUUAAAUAUAUAUUAAAUAUCGAUACUCAUUCUUUAGUCA